rnacentral:misc_RNA from 1 species
CUUUCAAGGACGCAGGAAGAAAGCGAGAGAAGGAUGCAAAUGAUUUCGAAAGCGUCAUCUUGUGCUGUGGCCUCCAUUCGUUGCUCAAGGGUGAGGAGUGGGCUUUGUGUACGGCCAGGUGUGAGACAGCUUUGCCUUAGAAAAGGUUUCUUGUAUGGAUUCAUGCACUUAUUGUCUAUGCCAUUUAAGACGUUGCGUGGAGCUAGUAG